GAUGAACGCUGGCGGCGUGCCUAAUACAUGCAAGUCGAGCGAACAGAUGAGGAGCUUGCUCCUCUGACGUUAGCGGCGGACGGGUGAGUAACACGUGGAUAACCUACCUAUAAGACUGGGAUAACUUCGGGAAACCGGAGCUAAUACCGGAUAAUAUAUUGAACCGCAUGGUUCAAUAGUGAAAGACGGUUUUGCUGUCACUUAUAGAUGGAUCCGCGCCGCAUUAGCUAGUUGGUAAGGUAACGGCUUACCAAGGCAACGAUGCGUAGCCGACCUGAGAGGGGGAUCGGCAAAACGGGAACUGAGAAACGGUCCAGACUCCUACGGGAGGCAGCAGUAGGGAAUCUUCCGCAAUGGGCGAAAGCCUGACGGAGCAACGCCGCGUGAGUGAUGAAGGUCUUCGGAUCGUAAAACUCUGUUAUUAGGGAAGAACAAAUGUGUAAGUAACUAUGCACGUCUUGACGGUACAUAAUCAGAAAGCCACGGCUAACUACGUG
rnacentral:rRNA from 1 species